UCAAGCUUGAUGGAAGUGGCCAGCAAGUAAACCUCUUGAUUACUGCUGCUUCAGGUGGUGUAGGUCAAUAUGCAGUUCAACUAGCAAAGCUUGGAAACACCCAUGUGACAGCCACUUGUGGGGCUCGCAAUCUGGAUUUCGUCAAAAGCCUCGGAGCAGAUGAGGUUCUUGACUACAAAACUCCCGACGGUGCAGCUCUAAAAAGCCCUUCGGGUCGCAAAUAUGAUGCAGUGAUCCACUGUGCAAUGGGCAUUCCUUGGUCUACCUUUGAACCUAAUCUAAGUUCAAACGGGAAGGUAAUCGAUAUAACCCCAGGUCCUAGUGCUCUGCUAACUUUUGCUAUGAAAAAGCUUACCUUCUCAAAGAAGAACCUGGUACCACUGCUAUUGUCACCUAAGAAGGAGAACCUCGAAUAUCUAAUUAACUUAGUGAAAGAGAAGAAGCUUAAGACGGUAAUUGAUUCAAAGCAUCCCUUAAGUAAGGCUGAAGAAGCAUGGGCUAAGAGCAUUGAUGGCCAUGCCACUGGUAAGAUCA
rnacentral:lncRNA from 1 species